AUGGACACCACCACAACCAGUGGAACAAACUCUGGGAGCGACUUCACUCUGACCAUCAGCAGAUUUCAGGCUGAAGAUGCUGCAGUUUGUUACUGUCUGAGUUUUCAUAGCAUCAACAGUAAAGAUGUGUUGACUUUUGGUGGAGGAACCAGACUGGAGCUUGGAAGUGAUGCCCGUCCCACCCUGACGGUGCUGCCCCCCUCUAGUGAGGAGAUAAAGAAGGGCCAUGCCACACUUACAUGUCUGGCCAACAAGGGCUUCCCCUCAGACUGGAGUCUGUCCUGGAAGGUGGACGGCAGCAGCAGCAGCAGCUAUGAGGAGAGCAGGAGCCCCGGGGUGCUGCAGAAGGACGGCCACUACAGCUGGAGCAGCACCCUGAGGGUCCCUGCAGACCAGUGGAGGAAGGUGGGCUCUGUGACCUGUGAGGCCACCCAGGGCUCCCAGACUCCACUCUCAGAGACACUGAGGAGAGACCAGUGUUCCCAGUACAGACCUGACUCACUGGGAAUCUGAUUCCUUUACAUCUCUCAGUCUGUUUUCUUUCUUUCUCUCUAUUUUGUUCUUUCACCAUAGAAUUUAGCAUAUUUUCUUUCUUAUGGCAUU